rnacentral:lncRNA from 1 species
AGUUUAAUUGAGAGAAAGAGGUCGGGCACAUGAAUUAGGGUCCGACGGUCGUCUUCUCCAAACUCAGAUGACGUUCCUGAUACCUUCAGCAGAGAAACGGAUCUACCUUUAAUCCCAUUGAUUGGUGCCUCCACGAUGUGUUUUCAAUGCGAUCCUUACGCCUCAGAGGUGGUGCGAUUAUUGCGUAUAAAUAGGGGUCACCCCUCUCAUCCUCGACGCACCCACGCUUUCCUACAUAGAUUCUUCUUUGUUUUUGUCAUGUAUGCUCCGAAAGUUUUCUUCUCAGACCUCAAGUCCGGCAAGUGCUCCUCCGUCGUUGAGGCUCGGCUUCUGCGGUCCUGGGAGGCAAAAAAUGUCAAACGCGAUGGGGAAUUGAUGUGGGUCGACAUGCUCUUGAUUGACGUCAACGUAAGUUCUUUUCUUAUCAGUAUAUUAUUCCGAUUAGCCUCUUCGUGUUUGCGUUUUUUUCCUAACUUUUAAAUUUUUUUUUCUUCGUGUAUCAGGCGACAAUGAUGCAGGUCACCAUCAAUGCUAACCGCCUUUCACGAUUCCGUUCCAAACUCGCCGCCGGGACGAUGUACACCGUCUCUGGCUUCGAUGCGGCGGCGAUGAGGGACUUUCUAGUUUCUUCGUUCGAUCUGAAACGGUUCUAUCUAUGGCUGCAUGGUAAAUCGAAUUGAUCGGAUUUUAUCAUUUUGUGAGUUUCGUCAACGGAAGAGAAAGAUGGUAGUACAGCUCCUAUUAUCGAGACUAGGAUGCAAGAACCGACCCUUUUUCGGGUAAUGGCGGCGGAUAGCAGAUCUCCGAGAGACGGGAAGCACAUCGAGGUCUUGGGUUACUUCAAUCCUUUGCCAGGUGAUUUAAUGAAGAGGAUUUGUAUUCUUUGGUUCGAUUUUUGAUUGCUCUCUUCAUUUGUUUUUACACUGUUUCGUUUGUGUGCAGGCCAGGAUGGUGGUAAGAGAAUGGGUCUCAAGUUUUAUAGAAUCAAGUACGUUUCCUUAUCAUCUUUUCACAUUUGAGUUUGUGAAUGGAGUUGGAUGAUUUAGACCAUUGUUAUAAGGGAAGGCUCUCUUAGUUUAUUAAUAUGUGAAUGGAGCUGGAAACGUUAUUAGAAUGAUUCUUCAGUUCAUUGUAGCUUUGUGAAAGUAGUUUCCUUUGUUCAAAGGAGCAAUGCGUUUUUUUAAUCAUGUUUCUUGAGAUUGUCUUCUACUUACUUAAAUCACUCUUCUGGGUUUCUGCAUUUGAAAUGUUUUGGUCUAAGAUAUCAGUCAGGGUUUGCAGUCACAUUUACACAAUGAUUAGCUAUAUUUCCUUGGAUAUUUUCUCUUUCAUAUGUGUUGUUAUGACUACUUUCUCUGUUUUCUUUGAUUGAAUUUUGCAAUGUUUUUUUUUCAAAACAAAAAAAAUUUGCUUUAUUUUCUGGUGGUUUCGUGGCAGCUCCAUAACUUGAGUUUUAGGGGUUUUCAAAGUGUAAGCUCCAUAACAAUUGAUUUUCCAUAACAAUGUAAGUUAUCAAUGGGUAAUCUUCUGGUUUGUAUUUGUCACGUAGAAACUUCGAAUCCAUAUUUGGCUAUUUGAGCGGAAAGAUCUGAAGACUGAAGAAAUAAUUAAUGUAAAUCUGUACUACACAUUUUUAGCUAUGAAUCUGUUCCGAACAGAGCUCCAUGAGCAUGUACUUUGUAAUUCCUAGCUUAGUUUUCUUUCUAAAUCAAGUUUAAAUACACUGUUUAAUCGAUCUCUUUGUUUUCUCAAGUGUUCAGGAAUUCAUGGUGUUCUUUGUGCGGCUGAAUUCAUGGAGUACAAACACUACCGAGUAAGUUCAUCAACACACUACUGAGGAAUUCAUGGUGUUCUUUGUUCAGAAAGUUGCUUCACAUUUUAUUUUUCUUGCAUAUUCAAUUCGUGUCCAUUGGCCACUAGACUAACUUAAGGUUAUGUUCUUGAUUCAUCUGUCCCCUUCACAUUAUGUAUCUGAGGUUGAUCAAGAUUACUUUGAUAGGUCCCUUGCCAAGAGAUAUCUAUUGUUGAUCUAGAAACAUGGAUUUGAUACCAAUUAAGGUCCCUCUUCAAAUCAAAGAGAAUUUGCCAAAGGACAAACUAAGAACACACACUUUUCUUUGGGUAGUUAGACUACCUCUUUUUAGGUUUUUCAUUCAUAUAAAUAGCAAAGCGUACAUGAAGCAAAGAAAUGGAAAGUGGAGCACCAACUCCUAACAAACAUGAAAUGGGAAACGUGACAUGAAGAUUGGUUCCUAUAGUUAAGGAAGACCACUUCUUUUAUUAAUAAAACUAGAAAAUAAAUGAGUCGUGAGACUCCUUCAUGCGAGAUUCUUGCCCUUUGGUUGACGUCGUCUAGCUGAUCUCGUACUUGCCACCUCAGCACGUGCUUGACUUCUAGUAUCCUAUCAAUACCCCGGUGGUCUAAAAGAACCUUGUCCUCAAGGUUCAUGUGCAUUGAGGAAAACUUCACUUGAAUUGAUUCUCUUCCUCCCCGGUUGAUUCUUCUAGUUGUGAUGUUUUUCAACGCACUACGGCUUCCAAGACCACGCUGUCUCCAUGGUUCGUUAUUAACAAUAAUUUUUUUGAAUAAAAAGAGUUUUUGUUUUUGAGUGAAAAAGAAAUAUAAAAUCCUUUUUUUUUUUGAAAUUGAAAACAAUGGAAGAAUUAUAGAUAUUAAUCCAUACAAAAGAAAGGAUGUUGAACUUGAUCAACAAACCCGAGUAGAAAAUGGUGAAAAAAAAAGCAAUGAAAAGAACAAUAGCUGGAUAGAUCUCGAUAAACGUUGAUUCCGUAGAAUGGCCAUUCGUCAAGGUUUCUUGAUAAUCAUUGAUUUAUAGAGAAUACUGAUAACAAGUAAGAUGGAAAAAUAUUAAGUUUUUGAUACCACAAAGUGGUCCGGAUCAAAAACAAAACAUGCUCUGAUACCAAUUGAUAGGUCCCUUGCCAAGAGAUAUCUAUUGUUGAUCUAGAAACAUGGAUUUGAUACCAAUUAAGGUCCCUCUUCAAAUCAAAGAGAAUUUGCCAAAGGACAAACUAAGAACACACACUUUUCUUUGGGUAGUUAGACUACCUCUUUUUAGGUUUUUCAUUCAUAUAAAUAGCAAAGCGUACAUGAAGCAAAGAAAUGGAAAGUGGAGCACCAACUCCUAACAAACAUGAAAUGGGAAACGUGACAUGAAGAUUGGUUCCUAUAGUUAAGGAAGACCACUUCUUUUAUUAAUAAAACUAGAAAAUAAAUGAGUCGUGAGACUCCUUCAUGCGAGAUUAUUGCCCUUUGGUUGACGUCGUCUAGCUGAUCUCGUACUUGCCACCUCAGCACGUGCUUGACUUCUAGUAUCCUAUCAGUUUGCCUCUAAUGUUUAUGCUAAUUUAAGAGACUGCGAGUUGUUUUUCUUCUACUAAACCGGCACACGUUCUGUUUCUCAGAAAGUAAUUGUUCAGUAUCGUACUUUUACAAAAUUAAUACUAUCAAAAACAAACAACUUUACCAAACACAGAUUUAAAGUCAAACGCAGCCAUGCUACAAUAAACUAGAGGAAACGACGACAACAAAAAUAGUAUCAGAUAAUAAAAUUAGAAGUACUAAAGUGAUAACAACAAAAAGUAACAAUGUUAUUUGAAAAACAGAUACUUGCAAGGACUUAAACAUAAGGAACUUCAAAUAUGAGAUUUUGUACAUUAUAAAUUCAAAUAUGAAGUUUCACUGUACAAAACAUCAAAAUUUAAAAUUUUGAACUUGCUUUUAGAGCAAGUAAAACUCCAUAUUUGAAGUUUUGAAAUUGAUUUUGGAGAUGUUCUUAACAUGAAACAAUUGGUUUUGAUUUGUACUCAAUUAUAUGUUCGCUUCAGUUUAAAAUGUAUUUUCUUAACAAAUUGUACAAUCAAUGAAGUUAUUGCUUUAGUCGGAUAAUAAUGUUUAGCAACAUAACCGAUAACGUGGAUAUUCAUUAUAUCAACAUAAAAUAAUGAAAAAACAAAUAACAUAUAUAUAGUAAAGAGUCUAUAAAUUAAUACUCGGCAAAUGAAUAGGCACAAUAAUUAAUAAAUUUUAUUGGUCUUGAAUUGGACAUAUGUAAAAUAUAACAUAAUUCGAUAAAAUAAUAAUAACAUAACUAUUAUAUAUAACUUUUAUAUAAACAUAAAUAAAACAUCUUUUAAAAAAUGAAUUCAUCUUUCAUCUUUUUUUUUCAAUUUCAAUAUUCUGAUGUUUCUAUUGAAUUACAGAUAACAGACUUUUAUACUAUCAUCAAAUUCAACACACAUGAUAUAUCAAUUAAUUUAAUAAAGUAGAUAAAAUUUAACUAAUAUAUAGUAUCAUAAAGUUAUUUUUUUUUAACAAUAUAAUCAGCUAUUGUAACACAAACAACAUAUAUCUUAUCACAUAUAAUUCCUUCUCACCUAAAACUUUCUAAAAGACAAAAAAAACAUUAUCAUACACAUCUCUUGGAAAUGCAAACUUAUAACACAAACUACAAAAUCAUGCAAAAAUAAUAAUCUAGAUCACAAGUAAAGUAUAUAUAUAUCUAUCUAUAUAUAUAUAAAAUUGUCUGCCUCUCUCCUAAGCCAUCCAACUGGAAACUCGUUCUCUGAGGGGCUGACACUUGUCCGCUUUUUAUAAAACGCGUCGUAUCACUUAAAUUUUAAUAGAUCCGUGUUGGGCUUAGAUUUCGUUAUUGGGCUUCAGUUUAAUUGAGAGAAAGAGGUCGGGCACAUGAAUUAGGGUCCGACGGUCGUCUUCUCCAAACUCAGAUGACGUUCCUGAUACCUUCAGCAGAGAAACGGAUCUACCUUUAAUCCCAUUGAUUGGUGCCUCCACGAUGUGUUUUCAAUGCGAUCCUUACGCCUCAGAGGUGGUGCGAUUAUUGCGUAUAAAUAGGGGUCACCCCUCUCAUCCUCGACGCACCCACGCUUUCCUACAUAGAUUCUUCUUUGUUUUUGUCAUGUAUGCUCCGAAAGUUUUCUUCUCAGACCUCAAGUCCGGCAAGUGCUCCUCCGUCGUUGAGGCUCGGCUUCUGCGGUCCUGGGAGGCAAAAAAUGUCAAACGCG